rnacentral:rRNA from 1 species
CACUGAGGUCAACGAGAAGAAACUUUUUGUUUCAAUUCUAGAAAAGCCAUGUUCUCAAGAAAAGUUUCGAUAGUUUAAGAGAUCGCCCGUACCGUAAACCGACUCAGGUGAGUGGGGUGAAUAUCCUAAGGCGAUGGGGUGAAUCUUGGUUAAGGAACUCGGCAACUUAACACCGUAACUUCGGGAAAAGGUGUGCCCGCGAAUGUGUAAGGAUUUACUCCCCAAGCAUUUUCGGGUCGCAGAGAAAUGGGAGUAGCGACUGUUUAUCAAAAACACAGGCAUGUGCAAAGUCACAAGACGAAGUAUACAUGCUGACGCCUGCCCGGUGCUGGAAGGUUAAGAGGAUUUGUCAGCGCAAGCGAAGCAGAGAAUCGAAGCCCCAGUAAACGGCGGCCGUAACAAUAACGGUCCUAAGGUAGCGAAAUUCCUUGUCGGGUAAGUUCCGACCUGCACGAAUGGCGUAACGACUUCUCCGGUGUCUCAACCAAGGGCCCCGCGAAAUUGAAUUCUCGGUGAAAAUGCCGAGUACCCGCAGAAAGACGGAAAGACCCCGUGAACCUUUACUGUAGCUUGGCAGUGAUUUUAGAGUUUUCAUGUGUAGGAUAGGUGGGAGCCUUUGAAGCCGGGUCGCUAGAUCCGGUGGAGGCAACCUUGAAAUACCACCCUUGAAAACUUUGAAAUCUAACCUGCUCCUCUUAGCGAGGAGAGGGACACUGUCUGGUGGGCAGUUUGACUGGGGCGGUCGCCUCCCAAAAAGUAACGGAGGCGCGCGAUGGUACCCUCAGCCUGAUUGGAAACCAGGCGUCGAGUGCAUUGGCAUAAGGGUGCUUGACUGCGAGACCUACAAGUCGAGCAGGUGCGAAAGCAGGCCAAAGUGAUCCGGUGGUCCCGCGUGGAAGGGCCAUCGCUCAACGGAUAAAAGGUACUCCGGGGAUAACAGGCUUAUUCCGCCCAAGAGUCCAUAUCGACGGCGGAGUUUGGCACCUCGAUGUCGGCUCAUCACAUCCUGGGGCUGGAGCAGGUCCCAAGGGUUUAGCUGUUCGCUAAUUAAAGUGGUACGCGAGCUGGGUUCAGAACGUCGUGAGACAGUUUGGUCCUUAUCUUCUGUGGGCGCAUAAAAUUUGAGUAGACCUGUCCUUAGUACGAGAGGACCGGGAUGGACGUACCUCUGGUGUUCCUGUUGUCAUGCCAAUGGCAGUGCAGGGUAGCUAUGUACGGAAUAGAUAACCGCUGAAAGCAUCUAAGCGGGAAGCUAACUACAAGAUUAGAUUUUACUAGGUCUUCGGACCUCUAAAGGACCCUCGGAGACUACGAGGUUGAUAGGCGAAAGGUGUAACU